rnacentral:rRNA from 1 species
GUCCUAAGGUAGCGAAAUUCCUUGUCGGGUAAGUUCCGACCCGCACGAAAGGCGUAACGAUUUGGGCACUGUCUCAACGAGAGACUCGGUGAAAUCAUAGUACCUGUGAAGAUGCAGGUUACCCGCGACAGGACGGAAAGACCCCGUGGAGCUUUACUGUAGCCUGAUAUUGAAAUUCGGCACAGCUUGUACAGGAUAGGUAGGAGCCUUUGAAACGUGAGCGCUAGCUUACGUGGAGGCGCUGGUGGGAUACUACCCUAGCUGUGUUGGCUUUCUAACCCGCACCACUUAUCGUGGUGGGAGACAGUGUCAGGCGGGCAGUUUG